CCUACGGGGGGCUGCAGUCGAGAAUCUUUCGCAAUGGGCGAAAGCCUGACGAAGCGACGCCGCGUGUGUGAUGAAGGCUCUAGGGUUGUAAAGCACUUUCGCUUGGGAACAAGAAAGAAUGGCUAAUAUCCAUUUGAUUUGAGCGUACCAGGUAAAGAAGCACCGGCUAACUCCGUGCCAGCAGCUGCGGUAAUACGGAGGGUGCUAGCGUUAAUCGGAUUUAUUGGGCGUAAAGGGCGUGUAGGCGGAAAGGUAAGUUAGUUGUUAAAUCUCGAAGCUCAACUUCGAAAAAGCAGCUAAUACUAUCUAUCUAGAGGAUAGACGGAGAAAAGGGAAUUCCACGUGUAGCGGUGAAAUGCGUAGAUAUGUGGAAGAACACCGGUGGCGAAGGCGCUUUUCUAGUUUAUUCCUGACGCUGAGGCGCGAAAGCAAGGGGAG
rnacentral:rRNA from 1 species